GACGCACAGUUCCAACAGUUAUUGUAUACGCUCACCACUUUUAUUUUUCUCUCCAUUCAUUUGUUGUAUAUACAUGUUGUUGGAGUUUAAUCUUACAAUGUAGUCUUAAGGUAACAGAAUAUUUGGUGGACCUAUGAUGGAUUUUGAGGAGUGACUAAUAUGGUCAGUGAUGUAUACAAUAACUGUUGGAACUGUGCAUCUCCUUAUUCGGUGUAGAGGGUGCAAACUUCUUUACAUACAAGGAAGAAAGUUCUGUUUUGUUUGAUAGGAAUAAGAGUUGUCACACUGUUUCAUGAAAGUUCUAAUAAGUGUCGAAGGGUGCAGGUGGAAACUCAGUAGUCAAAUGGUGGAUGGCUGUCCUUUCCUUUCUCUUUGUAGGUGCAUGAAUUUACUUUCUCAGUGGCAGUGUGUAUUUUAGACGUUUUAAACAUUCCAUAACGAAAUAUGAGGAAUAUGUUCACCUUGUUGACUCAAAAAGUAUUUAGAUCAUAGACAAGCAGAUAUAGGAUUCAGAGAUACAAAUUUUUCAUCUUCUGUCAAAGGAGUGUGGAGGCUGGAAAGAAUUACAUCCAAAAGAGAAGGGAGGACGAGUCAGAAGAGGGCAGAGAAGGGAGGUCAAUUCAGAAGAAGCAGAGGCACCAACCCUGAUGUUCUUUUUAGAAGUGGCAUUUUGAGUGUCAUGAUUUGGAGAGUCGCUGUGGCUGUUCCAAGCAAGGAGAGAGGGGAGAAGGAAACAGCUACAGGAGGAGGAGCAGCAGGGAGGAGGGGCAUUGGCCAUUCCAUACUGCUCUGGAAGGCUCUUCUUAUUUAUUUAUUUAUUUAUUUAUUUAUUUAUUUAUUCAUGUUUUUUUGAGACAGGGUCUCACUCCGGUUGCCCAGGCUGGAGUGUACUGGUGCGAUCUCAGCUCACUGCAGCCUUGACCUUCCAGGCUCAGGUGAUUCUCCCACCUCAGCCUCCCAAGUGGCUGUAACCACACAUGCGUGCCACCAUGCUUGGCUAAUUUGUUGUAUUUUCAGUAAAGAUGGGGUUUCACCUUUUGCCACACUUAAAGUAUCAUUGGGUCUGUUGAGUCAGAAGGACAAGUCAUAGAGCAUCUUGAGACCACCUUGUUGCCCAGGCUGGUCUCAAGCCCCUGGAUUCAAGCUGUCCACUUGCCUUGGCCUCCCAAAGUGCUGAAACUACAGGAGUGAGCCACCACAUCCAGCUUCCUUAUUUCUUCUCCAAAGCUCAACUCACACAUUGCUCCCCAGAAAGGUUGCACUGAUGACAAUGGUUUGUCUCCCCUUUCUCUUGAUCCUGUCUGUGCUCACUCCUCUGCCCCAUCUUUGCCACACUCUGUUUCCUUUCAGAGUCGGUGGCUUCCUUCUGUCUCAUCCAGUGAACUGAGAGCUCCUUAAGGAACAGAGUCUUACUCUUGUGUUUCACCUUCAAUGUCUAUAGUUAUGCCACAUAGAAAGCCACACACAGAAGACAGAUAGAUUUGCAAGUUCUGGGAUAACAAACUGUUACGAGGUAAAAAGUCUUGACUCUGAGUUGUCCAGGCUCAUGGGGCAUUGAACAAAGAAUGAACAAAACACUCAGCCAAAGCAACAAAAGAGCAAAGCAAUGAAAGAAGCAACAAAAGCACAGAUUUGUUGUGCACAAACAAAGCAAAAAAAGAAUGAAGCAAUGAAAGCACAGAUUUAUUGAAGCAAAGUACACUCCACAGAGUGGAAGCCAACUUAUGUAAAGGGCUCAAGAGCGCUGAUUACAAUGUUCUUUAGGGUUUUAAGCUAUUAAUAAUUUAGCAACACCCCUAGGUGCCCUUUAGAGGCCUCCAAUUGGUUACACCCUAUGAAGGAC
rnacentral:lncRNA from 1 species